UAACUGCGAAGGGGGGACGGAGAAGGCUAAAUCAUCCGGGCGACGGUUGUCCCGGUUUAAGCGUGAAGGUGGACUGACCAGGAAAAUCCGGUCGGUUGUUAACACUGAGGCGUGACGACGAGCCACUACGGUGGUGAAGUGAUUGAUGCCCUGCUUCCUGGAAAAGCCUCUAAGCAUCAGGUUAUCAUUAAUCGUACCCCAAACCGACACAGGUGGUCAGGUAGAGAAUACUCAGGCGCUUGAGAGAACUCGGGUGAAGGAACUAGGCAAAAUGGUGCCGUAACUUCGGGAGAAGGCACGCUGGCAUUAGGUGAAGUGGUUUACCCAUGGAGCUGAAGCCAGCCGCAGAUACCAGCUGGCUGCAACUGUUUAUUAAAAACACAGCACUGUGCAAACACGAAAGUGGACGUAUACGGUGUGACGCCUGCCCGGUGCCGGAAGGUUAAUUGAUGGGGUUAGCGCAAGCGAAGCUCCUGAUCGAAGCCCCGGUAAACGGCGGCCGUAACUAUAACGGUCCUAAGGUAGCGAAAUUCCUUGUCGGGUAAGUUCCGACCUGCACGAAUGGCGUAAUGAUGGCCAGGCUGUCUCCACCCGAGACUCAGUGAAAUUGAACUCGCUGUGAAGAUGCAGUGUACCCGCGGCAAGACGGAAAGACCCCGUGAACCUUUACUAUAGCUUGACACUGAACAUUGAAUCUUGAUGUGUAGGAUAGGUGGGAGGCAACGAAAUGUGGACGCCAGUCUGCAUGGAGCCAACCUUGAAAUACCACCCUUUAACAUUUGAUGUUCUAACCCGGGUCCAUAAUCUGGAUCGGGGACCGUGUCUGGUGGGUAGUUUGACUGGGGCGGUCUCCUCCCAAAGAGUAACGGAGGAGCACGAAGGUUGGCUAAGCAUGGUCGGACAUCAUGCGGUUAGUGCAAAGGCAUAAGCCAGCUUGACUGCGAGAGUGACAGCUCGAGCAGGUACGAAAGUAGGUCUUAGUGAUCCGGUGGUUCUGAAUGGAAGGGCCAUCGCUCAACGGAUAAAAGGUACUCCGGGGAUAACAGGCUGAUACCGCCCAAGAGUUCAUAUCGACGGCGGUGUUUGGCACCUCGAUGUCGGCUCAUCACAUCCUGGGGCUGAAGUAGGUCCCAAGGGUAUGGCUGUUCGCCAUUUAAAGUGGUACGCGAGCUGGGUUUAGAACGUCGUGAGACAGUUCGGUCCCUAUCUGCCGUGGGCGUUGGAAGAUUGAGAGGGGCUGCUCCUAGUACGAGAGGACCGGAGUGGACGCACCACUGGUGUACGGGUUGUGAUGCCAAUUGCAUUGCCCGGUAGCUAAGUGCGGAAAAGAUAACCGCUGAAAGCAUCUAAGCGGGAAACUUGCCUCGAGAUGAGUCUUCCCUGACCCUUUAAGGGUCCUGAAGGAACGUUUGAGACUAAGACGUUGAUAGGCUGGGUGUGUAAGUGCAGCGAUGCAUUGAGCUAACCAGUACUAAUGAACCGGGAGGCUUAACCUGACAACACCGAAGGUGUUU
rnacentral:rRNA from 1 species